rnacentral:rRNA from 1 species
GACGAACGCUGGCGGCGUGCCUAAUACAUGCAAGUUGAGCGCUGAAGGUUGGUACUUGUACCAACUGGAUGAGCAGCGAACGGGUGAGUAACGCGUGGGGAAUCUGCCUUUGAGCGGGGGACAACAUUUGGAAACGAAUGCUAAAACCGCAUAAAAACUUUAAACACAAGUUUUAAGUUUGAAAGAUGCAAUUGCAUCACUCAAAGAUGAUCCCGCGUUGUAUUAGCUAGUUGGUGAGGUAAAGGCUCACCAAGGCGAUGAUACAUAGCCGACCUGAGAGGGUGAUCGGCCACAUUGGGACUGAGACACGGCCCAAACUCCUACGGGAGGCAGCAGUAGGGAAUCUUCGGCAAUGGACGAAAGUCUGACCGAGCAACGCCGCGUGAGUGAAGAAGGUUUUCGGAUCGUAAAACUCUGUUGGUAGAGAAGAACGUUGGUGAGAGUGGAAAGCUCAUCAAGUGACGGUAACUACCCAGAAAGGGACGGCUAACUACGUG